rnacentral:rRNA from 1 species
AUGGUCAACUCCACCAUGUCCCUGCGAAUUGGUGGGCAGAUGGCUGUCACGCGGUGCUAUUUUAGGUAUGAGGCGUAUCGGUUCUACGACGCCCAGCCCAUGCUGAGUCUGCCGUCGCGGCCACCGCCGACGACUCCGGCCAAACGCAGGAGCAUGUUGUGGGUAAUUGCGGUAGUUGCAGUUCCACUAUCGGCAGCAGCAUUUCUCUUCUUCAAUUGCUACUCUCGUCGGCUCAAAAGGCGAAGAAAAGGGAGAGAGGACCUAGUUUGGCAAGGGAAGAAUUCGGAGUUCUCUUUGUUUCACUUUGAACAGCUAUUGGAGGCCACAAGUAAUUUUUCAGAAGAAAACAAACUUGGACAAGGUGGCUUUGGUGCUGUCUACAAGGGCCAGCUUCCAGAUGGGUUGGAUAUAGCGGUUAAGAGACUUGCUUCACAUUCAGGACAGGGUUUCACUGAGUUUAAAAAUGAAGUCCAGCUCAUAGCCAAACUCCAGCACACAAAUUUGGUUAGGUUCUUGGGAUGUUGCUCCCAAGAAGAGGAGAAAAUAUUGGUCUACGAAUACUUGCCAAACAAAAGCCUGGACAUCUUCAUCUUUGAUGAGUAUAAAAGAGCUUUACUAGAUUGGACAAAACUAUUAGAAAUAAUUGAAGGAGUAGCACAUGGACUCCAUUACUUACAUAAGCACUCUCGAUUGCUUGUCAUACACCGAGAUCUUAAACCAAGCAACAUUCUCCUAGACAGCGAAAUGAAUCCAAAAAUUUCAGAUUUCGGGCUAGCAAAAUUAUUCAGCUCAAAUGACACCGAAGGCGACACUACAAGAAGAGUGGUUGGAACAUAUGGUUACAUGGCCCCUGAGUAUGCUUCGAAGGGCGUCUUCUCUAUUAAAUCCGAUGUCUUCAGCUUUGGUGUCGUCAUUUUUGAGAUCCUUAGUGGAAAACACAAUUCUGGUAACCAACAAUGUGGAGGCUUCGUCAAUCUCCUUGGAUAUGCAUGGCAAUUGUGGGAAGAGGGAAAGUGGAUCGAUCUCCUCGAUGCAUCAUUGGUUCCUGAUAUUCACUUGGCAACGUUAAUGAGGUGCAUUAAUAUAGCAUUGUUAUGUGUGCAAGAGAAUGCAGUUGAUCGUCCGACCAUGGGAGAUAUUGUUUCAAUGCUAAGAAGUGAUACUAUGAUCUUGGCUAAGCCUAAGCAGCCAGCAUAUAUCAAUGUAAGGGUGGGAAAUGAAGAGACGUCCAAUGCUCCCGAGUCAUGCAGUAUUAAUGAUAUAACCAUAUCUGCCACAAUUCCUAGAUAG